rnacentral:rRNA from 1 species
GAUGAACGCUGGCGGCGUGCCUAAUACAUGCAAGUCGAGCGAACAGACGAGGAGCUUGCUCCUCUGACGUUAGCGGCGGACGGGUGAGUAACACGUGGAUAACCUACCUAUAAGACUGGGAUAACUUCGGGAAACCGGAGCUAAUACCGGAUAAUAUAUUGAACCGCAUGGUUCAAUAGUGAAAGACGGUUUUGCUGUCACUUAUAGAUGGAUCCGCGCCGCAUUAGCUAGUUGGUAAGGUAACGGCUUACCAAGGCAACGAUGCGUAGCCGACCUGAGAGGGUGAUAGGCCACACUGGAACUGAGACACGGUCCAGACUCCUACGGGAGGCAGCAGUAGGGAAUCUUCCGCAAUGGGCGAAAGCCUGACGGAGCAACGCCGCGUGAGUGAUGAAGGUCUUCGGAUCGUAAAACUCUGUUAUUAGGGAAGAACAAAUGUGUAAGUAACUAUGCACGUCUUGACGGUACCUAAUCAGAAAGCCACGGCUAACUACGU